UACACACUUGGCAGCGCAAAA
rnacentral:piRNA from 1 species